rnacentral:other from 1 species
CAAAUCCUGAAGUGUUCGUUAUAUACAUUUCAGUUUUGACCUAACAACCAAUCGUAAGGGAGUUUUACAUCUCCGUGUGGAUGACAAGCCUUUCGAGGACGUCAAAUGCAUGGAUGCGAACACCCACCUGCUAUAUGCGGGCUCAAAACGAUUUCGUAAAAAACGGCACAGUCGGGAUUUGU